rnacentral:tRNA from 1 species
GCCCUUCUAGUAUACCGAUUACAAUCGACUUCCUAUCCUUAAAACCUGGUGGAACCCUAGAGAAGAGCA